UUUUUUUUCUCAGUUAUGUCAACUUUAUUUAUAGGUAUAAUAGUCUUAAUCUUUCUCUUCAUCUGAUGUUUGGUACUCUGGCAAAACUUUUGGUCUUUUAGCUUGAACCUGGAGCUUUACUCCAUCAAUGAUAUGAUUUUCCUGUUGUAGUGCAUUCUGAAGUUCUUCCUCUGCAGAAAAUUGAACCCAACCUAAACCUCUGUGAAAGCCAGUCUCUUUGUCAAAAAGUACAAAGCACCUUCGUAUAUGGCCAAACUGUGCGAAGUGUUCUCUCAGCUCAUUCGAUGCAGCAGUCCAAGGAAUUUUUCU